GGGAUCUUGCGACAAUGGGCGCAAGCCUGAUCCAGCCAUGCCGCGUGAGUGAUGACGGCCCUAGGGUUGUAAAGCUCUUUCAGUGGGGAAGAUAAUGACGGUACCCACAGAAGAAGCCCCGGCUAACUUCGUGCCAGCAGCCGCGGUAAUACGAAGGGGGCUAGCGUUGUUCGGAAUUACUGGGCGUAAAGCGCACGUAGGCGGAUCUUUUAGUCAGGGGUGAAAUCCCGGGGCUCAACCCCGGAACAGCCUUUGAUACUGGAGAUCUAGAGUCCGAGAGAGGUGAGUGGAAUUCCGAGUGUAGAGGUGAAAUUCGUAGAUAUUCGGAGGAACACCAGUGGCGAAGGCGGCUCACUGGCUCGGUACUGACGCUGAGGUGCGAAAGCGUGGGGAGCAA
rnacentral:rRNA from 1 species